rnacentral:rRNA from 1 species
UACGGAGGAUGCAAGCGUUAUCCGGAUUCAUUGGGUUUAAAGGGUGCUUAGGCGGGGCGGUAAGUCAGUGGUGAAAGCCUGCAGCUUAACUGUAGAAUUGCCAUUGAUACUGUCGCUCUUGAAUGCGGUUGAGGCAGGCGGAAUGUGUAAUGUAGCGGUGAAAUGCUUAGAUAUUACACAGAACACCGAUUGCGUAGGGAGCUUGCUAAACCGUGAGUGACGUUGAGGCACGAAAGCGUGGGGAGCAAACAGG